rnacentral:misc_RNA from 1 species
GAAAUGCGAUACGUAGUGUGAAUUGCAGAUAAUGUGAACCAUCGAAUCUUUGAACGCAAAUUGCGCCCGAGGCUUCGGCCAAAGGCAUGCCUGCCUCAGCGUCGGUUCCACACCUCCGACCUCUUUCACUGCGGUGGAAAGAGACGGGACCUGGUCGUCUCAGCUCUCGAGCUGGGUCCGCCGAAGCACAGAGGCUCGAGCCGGAUCCCGAUCAAAGGGGCAACAGUCUGGUAGGUGAGCCCGCCUCACAUGCCGCUGGUGCCUCGGGAAGGCGAGCCCGCAGGAAUUGGUUCCCCGAGAACCAUCUCAACCAUUCGACCUGAGUUCAGGCAAGAGCACCCGCUGAACUUAA